rnacentral:rRNA from 1 species
UGGGGAAUUUUGGACAAUGGGCGCAAGCCUGAUCCAGCCAUGCCGCGUGUCUGAAGAAGGCCUUCGGGUUGUAAAGGACUUUUGUCAGGGAAGAAAAGGACAGGGUUAAUACCUCUGUUUGAUGACGGUACCUGAAGAAUAAGCACCGGCUAACUACGUGCCAGCAGCCGCGGUAAUACGUAGGGUGCGAGCGUUAAUCGGAAUUACUGGGCGUAAAGCGAGCGCAGACGGUUACUUAAGCAAGAUGUGAAAUCCCCGGGCUCAACCUGGGAACUGCGUUCUGAACUGGGUGACUAGAGUGUGUCAGAGGGAGGUAGAAUUCCACGUGUAGCAGUGAAAUGCGUAGAGAUGUGGAGGAAUACCGAUGGCGAAGGCAGCCUCCUGGGAUAACACUGACGUUCAUGCUCGAAAGCGUGGGUAGCAAACAGGAUUAGAUACCCUGGUAGUCCACGCCCUAAACGAUGUCAAUUAGCUGUUGGGCAACUUGAUUGCUUAGUAGCGUAGCUCGCGUGAAAUUGACCGCCUGGGGAGUACGGUCGCAAUU